rfam:Vibrio hepatarius strain DSM 19134 contig0018, whole genome shotgun sequence.
GACACCAACUAUUCUGUUCUUUUUUGACUUCUUUUUUCUCCACUAACACUGGAGGCUCUCUCGUUUUCGAAAGAUAAGUCAAGAACGAACAGAAGGCCUCCCAAACGGGAGGCUUUUUUAUU